UGAGUCCGACAGCCGGUCUGUGAAUGGACGGGAAUACAUCAUCAUCAUCAUCAUCAUCAUCAUCACCGGCAGCGGAGGGUUCGCAUCCCGGCUGGAUGAGUGUGUGUGUGUGCGUGUGUGCGUUCCUGAUCCUGUGUCCGCUCGCGCUGCUCAGAGCCGCCGCGAACCUGACGCAGCUCUUGGGCAUGAUGAAGGCCGGCUGGAUCACUCACACCGCCCACCGGAAGCGCUCGUGGCUCAGCUUCCUCAGAUCUGCCGCCUCUAGAGAUCCCCCUUUCAUUUCACAUGCAGAUAUUAAGACUUUAAGAGCCCUGUUCUGCUUUAUAUCCAGCGAGAGCCGUGUGGAGAGAGAUGUGGAGUACUGACGUUAUUAUAGAUGACCCAAUAGCUGAGCAGGCUGGGUUAUGCAGAACAGUGUGUGUGUGUGUGUGUGUGUGUGUUCUGCUGUUAUUCAGGCUGUUGUGUGUGUGUGUGUUUGUUAUUGUUUUCAGCUGUUGGUCAUGUCUGAGCUCUACAGAGCUGUGCUUAAUCAGUGUGGAGGUCGUUUGUUGGGAAUUGUAUGGUGUUUAAUGGGGUGCAGUGCUCAGUGCUCAUCAUCCAUCAUGUGUUAAACAGACGCGCUCGUCAUCCUGCUCACGGUAUCAGUUCAUAUUCAAGAGGACACACACACGGGCCCUCCAAGAAACACCGGACCCUAGCCGAAUGCCUGUGUUGCCUGUAGGACGGGCCGGCACUACACACACACACACACACACACACGCACACGCACACACACGC